rnacentral:rRNA from 1 species
GCUUACGGCCACACCGGCCUGAGUACACCUGAUCUCGUCCGAUCUCGGAAGCUAAGCAGGGUCGGGCCUGGUUAGUACUCGGAUGGGAGAAAGCCUGGGAAUACCAGGUGCUGUAAGCU